rnacentral:lncRNA from 1 species
GAAAUUAUAUCUGACUUUAUGGAGGGGAGGAACGGAUAAUUUUUCGGAUUUCAAAAAUAUUUUCCAUUUCCGCUCCCUACAGCUUUCCUCCUCCUCCUUUGCUUCCCCUUCGUCUCGAUUCCAUGGCUUCCGCUUCUCUCUUGGGAAGUUCAUACCUUCAACACCGCCCAUUCUUUGAAGCACGCAACGGUUCCGAGGUCUCGGUUCCCAUCCAUGAAACCCGAAACCCCUUAAAACCCCAAUGCUCUUCGACGCCGGAGUCGUCUUGUUCCAUAGUUCUUCCACUCCUUUCCUUCGAAUCGGUGAUGCUCUAGCUUCUCUUUAUGUGCACUCCAAGGGGAAAACGUUGCUUGCUUUUCUAUAAAAAUCCUUCCUUUUCCGGGUCCAAUUGCUUAAAUUAGGUUGUAUUUUUUAUUUUGAUUUUAACCAUGUCAACCAAGUUUCGCGUGCUUUAUAUAAUGGUAUAGUAAUUGGAUUCAGAUUUCAGAUGCGUCUAGUUAACCUUUCUUGAAAACUGAACUAAAAUUACUGGUUAAAUGAUAACAAGUGUUAAUAUUAAAUGUUUUGCUGUAGAUCUCUAUACUGCUAUCCUUUUUUUCCUCUUAUAUUUUUCUCUUAGCUUAUCAUGUACCAUUGGAUGUUGUAAUCUCUUUGAGAUCGAGC